rnacentral:rRNA from 1 species
AUACAAAAGGUGCAAGCGUUGUUCGGAUUUACUGGGCGUAAAGAGAGUGUAGGUGGUUUAUUAAGUCGGAUGUGAAAUCCCGGGGCUCAACCUCGGAACUGCAUUCGAUACUGAUAGGCUAGAGUUUGAGAGGGGUAAGCGGAAUUCCGUGUGUAGCAGUGAAAUGCGUAGAUAUACGGAGGAACACCUGAGGCGAAGGCGGCUUACUGGACCAAUACUGACACUGAGACUCGAAAGCGUGGGUAGCAAACAGGAUUAGAAACCCUGGUAGUCC